UUCCAGACUCCUACGGGAGGCAGCAGUGAGGAAUAUUGGUCAAUGGGCGCGAGCCUGAACCAGCCAAGUCGCGUGAGGGAAGACGGUCCUAUGGAUUGUAAACCUCUUUUGUCGGGGAGCAAAAGACGCCACGCGUGGCGUUCCGAGAGUACCCGAAGAAAAAGCAUCGGCUAACUCCGUGCCAGCAGCCGCGGUAAUACGGAGGAUGCGAGCGUUAUCCGGAUUUAUUGGGUUUAAAGGGCGCGUAGGCGGAUUUUUAAGUCAGCGGUAAAAUGUCCGGGCUCAACCCGGGCCGGCCGUUGAAACUGGGGAUCUUGAGUGGGCGAGAAGUAUGCGGAAUGCGUGGUGUAGCGGUGAAAUGCAUAGAUAUCACGCAGAACUCCGAUUGCGAAGGCAGCAUACCGGCGCCCGACUGACGCUGAGGCACGAAAGCGUGUGGAUCGAACAGGAUUAGAUACCCCGGUA
rnacentral:rRNA from 1 species